ensembl:rRNA 5S_rRNA 5S ribosomal RNA
GUCUACGGCCAUACCACCCUGAAUGCACCCGACCUUGUCUGAUCUCGGAAGCUGAGCAGGAUCGGGCCUGGUUAGUACUUGGGUGGGAGAAGACCCUGGAAGUGAAUGGGCC